CCAAGAGCCUGUGAGUUGACUUAAGGAAAGUUUACACAGAGGGAGUUAGAGGUGGGAGGGUCCCCUCUUCCUGCCUUAGAGAGGAGUUCAGCGUCACACAUAUGUUCUUUAGGCAAAGCUGUUUUCCUCCUCCACUGAAAUGCAGGUGCUCCUUUCCCUAUAAAUAGGGUGGUCAUAUAAUUUAUGCACCAAAUCAGGAUAUCUAUGAAAGGAGAUCAUUAUAUGAGAAACAACAGGAUUCUCUGGGCAAACUAGGACAUUUGACAGUUCCACUUGUAAACACAUGCUUUACAAACAAUGCACACAGGAAAAUGGCUUCCUGUACCCUGCUCUUGAAGGCUUCAGUGCUGCAGAAAAUUGAGAAAUUUGGAAAUCUGGAAGCUUUUGAAUAACAUGUGGGUUCAGAAGUGAAUUAAGGAAUGAUAUUGAAGAAUCAGCAGACUUUCAGGAAGACUAUUGUAUAUACCACAUUUCAUGCACAGGUAUCUGAAGGAGAAAUGAAAUACCCACCAGCAGGAGAGGAGAGUGUCUAUUUCCUUAUACUCUCACCCAUGUGUCUUCUUAAAUCUUGUGAAGGAUGGCCCAGCCUCUGUGGUACCGUUGGAAGCAAGCCAGACAUCAAAGCUGGAAGUCACAUGCUGACUGCAAUCUGAGUCCUUGGCAGGACUAGGACAAGGACAAGGACAGGCUGGUUUGUGUCCGAGUUCUACUUGCUGCCAGCCUGCCUGAAGCCUGUGGCAUCUCACCAGGAUCUGCUUCUCUGAAACCCUUCAGAAUAAAUGGCUCUUCUGCCCUGUUCAUUGUAAACACCAACACUUGACUUUUAAUUAAUGGAAGCGAAUGCAUUUCUUUAAUACAUACAGAAAUAAAAGAUUGAUUUAUGUCUUGU